ensembl:lncRNA
AUGAGGGGCCAAUCAUAUCUUGGACGAAAAAAAAAUGAAUUCAUCAACAUAGAAGAAAGAAAAAUGGAGGGGCGGUGCCUGGCUGAGGCCUGCCGGAAAUCCAGCAAACUACACUGCACCGAAAUCGAUGAAGGGAAGAGGGAAAAAAUAUUCAAGUAUUUUUGGGGGAAAUUGGACUGGAAAGAAAGGAAAAUCUAUGUGAAGUCACUGGUGGAGGUGAGUGAUGUCAAGCGGCGCCGGACAGAAGCGGUUCAGUCUCGGAGGUCAGCAUCUCUCUGUUGUUUUUUAUGUGUUGAUGGUAAAAGGCUCAGAGUUUGUCAGCGGAUGUUCCUGUCGACCCUUGGCAUCAAGCAGUGGAGUGUUCUAAAAUGGGUUGGAAGAAGAGAUGAAAGUCCUGAGAAGACGGCAAGAGUGAGGGUGAGGACAGAGGAGCGGGACUUCCUAAAGUCCUUUCUUCUUGAACUGCCGAAAGUACCAUCGCACUACUGUAGGUCCUCCUCUUCCAAGAUGUACCUGGAGCCUUUAUUCAAAUCAAUCAAUCAUCUCCACUCACAAUAUAAGCAGGCAUGUGCAGCCAACGGCAUCCAGGCUCUGUCAAGACAAGUGUUCAGUAACACCUUUAAAGAAUUAAAUCUGUCAUUGUUCCAUCCAAAAAAAGAUCAGUGUGACACUUGCUGUGCCUUCAAAGCCGGGAACAUCGAGGCUGCUGUGUGGGAGGAACACUGCGUUAAGAAGGACGAGGCACGAGCAGAAAAGGAUAGGGACAAGCAACUUGCAAAUAACACCACCUUGGUUGCAUGCAUGGAUCUGCAGGGCCUUCUCCUCUGCCCAAAGCUUCAAGCGUCUGCCCUCUAUUUCAAAAUGAAGCUGAGUGUCCAUAAUUUUACCAUCUACAAUAUGGCAUCACAUGAAGCGACAAAUUACCUUUGGCAUGAGGGUGAGGGGGGGGUCUCUGCCAAUGAGUUUGCCUCCUGCAUUGUGGACUAUCUUGAAACACACCUCACUUACACUGAAUUCAUUCUUUGGAGUGAUGGGUGUGGUUAUCAAAACCGAAACCUGGUCCUGAGCAAUGCCCUCUUAAAGUUUGCCACUGAAAGAAAAAAGCAAGUGACGCAGAAGUACCUUCAAAGAGGCCACACACAGAUGGAAUGUGACUCUGUGCACAGUGUGAUCGAAAGAAAGCUAAGGAACCGAGAUGUACAUGUUCCAGCUGAGUAUGCUGCAGUCAUUCGGGGAGCUCGUUCAAGUCCAAAACCAUACGAGCUGAAGUAUGUUGAUUACAGCUUUUUCCAAGACUUCAGCAAAGUGAAAAUCUGCAAGUCAAUUCGACCUGGUAGCAAAGCAGGCGAUCCUACGGUGCAUGACCUCCGAGCAGUCAGGUCUGUACAGACUACUUUUUCAUACAUGAAAUAUUUGCCACAUCAUAUUAAAAUAUUUUGUUUCAUAAAUCUAAACUUGCUUUUGGUUCCCUCCUAUUCUCUGUUCGCCGACAUCCCUCUUUCCUUUCAUCUCUCUAUUAGAUACAAUGUGGACGGCAGUAUGGAGUUCAAAUUACUCCACUCCGACAACUGGCAACCCUUCACAUCCCCAUCCCUGAGGAAGGCGUGUGUCAGCGUGGCCCCACUCUAUACAUCCCCCCAGAAAAUUAAAGCACUGAAGUUCAAGCACCUUCAAGAACUGAAACAUGUCUUACCGAAGGACUUUCAUCCAUUUUAUGAUGCACUUGACCAUGAGUGA